ACUACACCCUUUUGAACUUGUUUCCUCAAAUUACUGUAAGUGGUAUCCUCUUUGGCCUGUGUUUUCAAUUUCUCAAGAAAAUUGAUUUGAACUUCGGUUAGGGCAGCAACAUGCCCCUGUACUUCCUUGCAGCUGAGUGCAUUUGCCACUUGGUUUUCGUUGCCUACUCGGUACACCCACUCAAAGUCAAACUCGGCCAAGAAUUCUUGCCAUCGAGUUUGCUUUGCCAAUAGCUUCUUUUGAGUUUUGAAGUAGGUGUUGGCCACAUUAUUGGUCACCACUGUAAACUUAGUCCCUAAUAAGUAAUACUUCUAGUUUCCAAGACAAUGUACAACGACAACCAUCUCUUUCUUGUGGGCACUAUAGUGCUGCUCAACAUCCUUAAGUUUUCUGCUUUCAUAGGUAAUUAGAUGCUUUUCCUAGACCAGAACUCCUCCAAAGGCUUUGUCAGAUGCGGUUGUAUGAACUUUAAAGGGCAAGUUGAAAUUGGGUAGUCGUAAGACAGGCUCAGUUGUGACUGCAUCUUUCACUCUGUUAAAAGCUUGCUGGCAAACGGUUUGUCCAGUCCCAUUUUUUAUCUUUUUUUAACAAGUCAAUGAGUAGAGCAACUAUCUUGGAGUAUCCGUCAAUGAAGCACCUAUAAUAGUUAGCCAAUCCAAAGAAAGACUAAAGUUCGGUUACCUUUGUAGGAGAAGUCCAAUCCACAAUCCCCUGAAUUUUGCGUUCAUCCAUCUGGAUCUGCCGUUUACUAAUCUAUGAAAGUGACGAUGUUGGAUUGGGGAGAGGAUGGAAUGGCCACUUCUGCUAUAACUGUUGCUCUCCAGCAUCAUUUCGGCAAAAGGUUACUGUGUGGCAAAAGCUUGACCACCCAAAUGUUCCAAAGGUUGAGUUAACUACACUCAAAAAAAAUUGUGCAUCAAGAUGUUAAGACAGAAAACAUGUUGCUCGAUGCUAAUAGAACUUUGAAAAUCACUGAUUUUGGUGUUGCACGAGUGGAAGCUGAGAACCCAAGAGACAUGACUGGGGAAAGUGGAACCCUUGGCUACAUGGCCCUUGAGGUACCAAUUCUUUAGCAAUUCCUGAAAGUUCAAAUCAUGGUUUUGUAAACUUUGAAAUUAUAACUACAUUAACAUUUUCCAUACACUUGAAAUCUUAAUUACGGCAAUAAUACAUUCUAAUUAAAUUGUUUCCAUGUUUCUUCCUUUUCUUUCUGGUUCAUGACUUUGCAUUUCUUUGAAAGCUGGAGAAGAUUUCUCCAGAAUUAAGUUGUGUAGGUGCUUGAUGGGAAGCCUUACAAUUGAAAAUGUGAUGCCUACAGCUUUGGUACAUGCUUAUGGGAAAUGUUAUGAUGUGCCUUAUCCUGAUCUGAGUUUCGCUGAUGUUUUACCUGCAGUUAGACAGAACUUCCAACCGGAUAUCCCCAGAUGUUGGCAUAAUGCGAAAAUGCUGGGAUGAAAACCCAGAAAAGUGGCCUGACAUGGAGGAGGUGCUGAGGUUACUAGAAGCAGUAGACACAAGCAAGGUAGGAGGCAUGACACCUGAAGAUCAAGCUCAUGGAUGUUUGUGCUUCAUUCCAACUCGAGGCCCAUAAAUUUGUUAUAAUUUUCAUUUGGUCUUGUAGUCAUAUCUAUAUUUGUAUCAUGAGCAGUGCAGUGCAAAUGAAGAAAAGAAACUCAUGAAUGAAGCAGAGAAGCAGUUCAUGACUGCGCCUGAGGUUAUAUAUUGAUUUCUGUAAUUCCUGAAAAAAUAAUCUUGCAACACAGAUAAAGCAGUUGUUGGUUCCGUCUGAAAUUAUACUUGUUUCAAUUGUAUUGAAAAUUAACAUUCUAUUUUUGUCAG